rnacentral:siRNA from 1 species
CCGUACGGACACGCCCAAUGGUCC